GGUAAGGCCCUUCGGGGUACACGAGCGGCGAACGGGUGAGUAACACGUGGGUGACCUGCCCUCAGCUCUGGGAUAAGCCCGGGAAACUGGGUCUAAUACCGGAUAUGACCUUGCACCGCAUGGUGUUUGGUGGAAAGUUUUUCGGCUGGGGAUGGGCCCGCGGCCUAUCAGCUUGUUGGUGGGGUGAUGGCCUACCAAGGCGGUGACGGGUAGCCGGCCUGAGAGGGCGACCGGCCACACUGGGACUGAGACACGGCCCAGACUCCUACGGGAGGCAGCAGUGGGGAAUAUUGCGCAAUGGGCGGAAGCCUGACGCAGCGACGCCGCGUGGGGGAUGACGGCCUUCGGGUUGUAAACCUCUUUCGACCGGGACGAAGCGAGAGUGACGGUACCGGUAGAAGAAGCACCGGCCAACUACGUGCCAGCAGCCGCGGUAAUACGUAGGGUGCGAGCGUUGUCCGGAAUUAUUGGGCGUAAAGAGCUCGUAGGCGGUGUGUCACGUCGAUCGUGAAAACUUGGGGCUUAACCCUGAGCGUGCGGUCGAUACGGGCAUCACUAGAGUUCGGCAGGGGAGACUGGAAUUCCUGGUGUAGCGGUGAAAUGCGCAGAUAUCAGGAGGAACACCGGUGGCGAAGGCGGGUCUCUGGGCCGAUACUGACGCUGAGGAGCGAAAGCGUGGGGAGCGAACAGGAUUAGAUACCCUGGUAGUCCACGCCGUAAACGGUGGGCGCUAGGUGUGGGGGCCAUUCCACGGUCUCUGUGCCGCAGCUAACGCAUUAAGCGCCCCGCCUGGGGAGUACGGCCGCAAGGCUAAAACUCAAAUGAAUUGACGGGG
rnacentral:rRNA from 1 species